rnacentral:misc_RNA from 1 species
UUUCCGUAGGUGAACCUGCGGAAGGAUCAUUAUUGUAUAACCGAGGUGCGAGGGCUGUCGCUGACCCGAAAGGUCGUGCACGCCCGAGUGCCCUCACACACAUCCAUCUCACCCCUAUGUGCACCACCGCGUGGGUCCCCCUUUGGCUUGUUCGGAGGGGGGCUUACGUUUUCACACAAACUUUGUAUGCAGUGUAGAAUGUAUUUUUGUUUUUGCGAUCACGCAAUCAAUACAACUUUCAACAACGGAUCUCUUGGCUCUCGCAUCGAUGAAGACGCAGC